UAUAUAUAUAUAUAUUUUUUUUAAUAAAUCAUCAAAUCUUAAGUUUAUAACUUAAAUCUAAUAUAUUUAAAUCUUAACCUUAUAUUUUGGAUCUAAACACCAAACCCUAUUUCCAAACUUCAAACCCUAUAUCAUAAACAUAUCUUUCUAAUCUAAAACUUUCAUUUCUCAGAUUAUAAUAAAAAUACCCAACUAUGAAAUAUAGCUUUUAUAUUUUAUAUCACAUAUAAAAUAUAUUACAUGACCAGAUUUCGCUGCCAAAAAAAAAAUGACCAGAUUUCUAUUGUAAGUUGCCAAAAAUAUAUAUUAAAUGACACAAACAACAGAAAAGAGAAAAAAUGUUAUUGGUUAAUCUAAACACACCCCAUAUAGUUCAUUGACCAACACCGUGUGAUAGAAACUACGGCCAAGCCUCGGCACCUGCGACAACCUCAAGAACUCCACCGCGUUUCCACCGCCGUUGGCGGCUCGCCGCUGGUGUCGGUGCCUCCUUCUCCCCUCUCGUUUUCCCUUUGCUUCGUUACUUAGCCUCUCCCCCUAGCCGAUAUGCUGAAGCACUGAUGUCGUUGGUUGAUGAUUGAUUCGGGGUCCGACCAUGGCGGUUCUUCCAGAUCUGUCGUCACCGGUGGCCUUUGGUUGGACAGCGAGGUUCGUGGAGGUGCGGCUAAUUGCGGAGUCGGAUUUUAAGGUGGCUAGGGUUUUGGAUCUGCCGAUUUUCAGAUCUCUUCGGUGUGAUUCUCCCUUAGCCAGUUCUGGAGGCGCGUGAGUCACGGAGAUGGCUCAAUCGGUCCAGAUCUGUCAGCGGUCUGUGUUGAUGUGGGGUUGGCUCUCUGCCUUGGUGUCUCGGCGACAGCGACUUGCCAUUCAUACCCAAGUUGUCGUAGACCAGUGGUGGCUCAAGUCUUCGGUGGAGGUAGAAACCUCUUCUGGUUCUCAGAGGAGGUGUGUGUUUGGCUCGGAAGGAGAUAGAGGUAUAUCGGAGCGAUUGCUUCAUUGUCGGUCGUUUGUCGCCGUCUUGAUCGUGAUUGUCAUGGAUUUGGAGUGGUUAUUAUCCAGUUACCGGCUGGGUGAAUAAAACGUUUCCGGGAAACCUUUAUAGGCUUCGCCGUGGGGUGAUGGUGCGUAUGAGGCGCGGGGAGAGCACACUCAAGGUCCAAUGGAGAGACUUAGUUGGGAUUGAAGGGUGUUUACAGCGACGGUUAAGGAUUCUAACCUCUCUCGUUUCAGUUUAUAUGUUUGGUGAUGUUCGUGUGCGCCUAGUCUAUCUCGCUGCUCCUCUCUUUUUGUGUUAAUUGUUGAUGAGUUCUAUUUCGGUAAGCUCGUCUUUGAGCGCAAGGUGGAACACUCCUCUCCGUGAAGUUCGGUUUUACUCUCCUGCCUCUCGACAUCUUUUUUCUUCGUAUCUUUGUUAGUUUUUUAUGGGUUUGUGUUGUAUCCAUCUUUUGGCUCCGGGUGGUACAUGUUACCUCGCCGGCUUAUGGCUCUGGAAGGAAUGUAUUCCUUGUUGGCUCUAGUUUGUAAGAAAUGUUGUUUUUGUGUUUAAUAUAAUCUACAGAUGACAAAAAAAAAAUCUAAACACACCCUGAUCUCAGUUUCUACCACUGGAUUAAAUACAAUCCAACGGACCAAACAUGGUCUCAGUUCCUCUCUCUCUUUCUUCACACUUGCAAAUUUUCUCAUCUUCUCUUUUUUUUCCAAUCCCACAGAUCUCAUCUUCUAUUUUUUUUUUUUCCAAAAGAUAUGUUCUCCUCUGUUUCUUUUCCUUUCACUUCUUCAUCUUCCCCUUCUUUUCAACUUAUUUCUCCUCUCAUGUCCGUUCUUUCACUUGAAUAAGGUAUGGAGGGUUGUGAGGGAAGAAUCCGCCGUCGAUUGAGAAGAGACGUGAUCCAAUUAUUAUGGUGAAGAAGAAGAAGCAAAAUAGAUAAUUAACUUUGGCAUCUUCGAUUUAAAGUUUGGAUUUUUCUGAAAGAUAUUUAAGAAACUGAGACAGGAGGAAGAAGAAGAAGAACAACAACAAGAUGGCUUGCCGAGAGAGACAUGUUCAGAAUCAGUAGCGUACUGGCUGAAGAAGCUCCAGUGAGUGGAGCAGACAAAGCAACGAAGGAAAAACUCUGGAGGCGGCAGAGAGGAUGAAAGCAUAAAGCAUUUAGGUUUAGGGUUUUCUAUUUGGUUUAGAUUUCUUUUUUGUCAUCUGAGAAUUUUUCAUUCAACUUAACUGAAGCAUACAACACGUCAUAAGCCGGCGAA